rnacentral:ncRNA from 1 species
CCAGGUCCAGACACAAUUAAGGAUUGACAGAUUGAGAGCUCUUUCUUGAUUUUGUGGGUGGUGGUGCAUGGCCGUUCUUAGUUGGUGGAGUGAUUUGUCUGCUUAAUUGCGAUAACGAACGAGACCUUAGCCCUUAAAUAGAGUUGCUGGCAUUUGCUGGUAAAUCUUCUUAUGGGGACUAUCGAUUUCAAGUCGAUGGAAGUUUGAGGCAAUAACAGGUCUGUGAUGCCCUUAGACGUUCUGGGCCGCACGCGCGCUACACUGACGGAGCCAGCGAGCUUUUCCUUAGCCGAGAGGUUUGGGUAAUCUUGUGAAACUCCGUCGUGCUGGGGAUAGAGCAUUGUAAUUAUUGCUCUUCAACGAGGAAUUCCUAGUAAGCGCAAGUCAUCAGCUUGCGUUGAUUACGUCCCUGCCCUUUGUACACACCGCCCGUCGCUAGUACCGAUUGAAUGGCUUAGUGAGGCUUCAGGAUUUGCUUAGAUCGAGGGGCAACUCUCUUUCAGAGCGGAGAAUCUAGUCAAACUUGGUCAUUUAGAGGAACUAAAAGUCGUAACAAGGUUUCCGUAGGUGAACCUGCGGAAGGAUCAUUA